rnacentral:rRNA from 1 species
GUGUUUGUCACUGGUAAGGGCGUAUGGUGGAUGCCUUGGUAGACAGGACCGAUGAAGGACGUGACGGGCUGCGAUAUGCCUCGGGGAGCUGCCGAGUGGGCUUUGAUCCGAGGAUUUCCGAAUGGGGAGACCCGGCCACUGUUAUGAGUGGUCACCACAGUUUUUGUGGGGGGUACGCAGGGAAGUGAAACAUCUCAGUACCUGCAGGAAAGGAUACUCCGUGAGUAGUGGCGAGCGAAAGCGGAUCAGGCUAAACCGGGUGCGUGUGAUAGCCGUCAGGUGUUGCGCAUUCGGGGUCGUGGGAUGGACUGUUCAGCCUCUGACGGGGUUGAGGAGAGUGAUAAAAUGUCGUGCUAGGUGAAUGGGAUUGAAUUCCCAGCCGUAGAGGGUGAUGGCCCCGUAGCUUGUCGUGCGAUGUCUCUUUAUGUUUAUUCCCAAGUAGCGCGGGACUCGUGGAAUCCCGCGUGAAUCUGCCCAGACCGUUGGGUAAGCCUAAGUAUUCCUGUCUGACCGAUAGUGUACUAGUACCGUGAGGGAAAGGUGAAAAGCACCCCGGGAGGGGAGUGAAAUAGUUCCUGAAACCGUGCGCUUACAAUCCGUCGGAGCCUUCUUUGUGGGGUGACGGCGUGCCUAUCGAAAAAUGAGUCUGCGAGUCAGUGGUAUGUGGCGAGGCUAACCCGGGUGGGGGAGCCGUAGCGAAAGCGAGUUUUAAAAGGCGUUUGAGUCGCAUGUCCUGGACCCGAAGCGGGAUGAUCUAGCCCUGAGCAGGUUGAAGCGCGGGUAAGACCGUGUGGAGGACCGAACCCACCUAGGUUGAAAACUGGGGGGAUGACUUGGGGUUAGGGGUGAAAGGCCAAUCAAAUUCCGUGAUAGCUGGUUCUCUCCGAAAUGCAUUUAGGUGCAGCGUCGUGUUAUUGCUUACAGGGGGUAGAGCUACUGGAUGCUUGCGGGCCCAUACCGGGUACCAAUAGCAGCCAAACUCCGAAUACCUGUUAGGUUUAUCACGGCAGUGAGUCGGCGGGGGAUAAGCUCCGUCGUCAAAAGGGAAACAGCCCUGAUCGUCGUCUAAGGUCCCGAAGCGCGUGCUAAGUGGGAAAGGAUGUGGAGUCGCAUAGACAGCCAGGAGGUUGGCUCAGAAGCAGCCAUCCUUGAAAGAGUGCGUAACAGCUCACUGGUCUAGUGGUUCCGCGCCGACAAUGUAGCGGGGCUUAAGCACGCCACCGAAGACGCGGCUGCAUGAUUUGUUUCAUGCGGGGUAGGAGAGCGUCCUGUAUGGGGUGAAGCGGCAGUGUGAACUUGUCGUGGACUUUACAGGAGUGAGAAUGCAGACAUGAGUAGCGAGAGACGGGUGUGAAUCCCGUCCGCUGAAUGACUAAGGGUUCCGGGGCCACGUUCGUCGUCCCCGGGUGAGUCGAGUCCUAAGGCGAGGCCGACAGGCGUAGUCGAAUGGAUGAACGGGUUGAUAUUCCCGUACCGGUGUUACACCGUUCGAACUGAAUCUGAGAGUACUAACCUUCAUUUGCUGGUUGAUUGCCUUUCGGGGUUGUUGGCUGGUUUGUGUUGGGACUGUAUCGGUAGUAGGUUAGCGUGGGAGUGACGCGGGUAGGUAGCCGGCUGCGGAGGUGGUUUUCCGUGGCUAAGCGUGUGGGCUGUCUCCUAGGUAAAUCCGGGGGAUGUUAAAGCUGAGGCGUGAUGGGUAGGCUGUAAGGCUGAUUCCGGUGAUCCUGCUUGCCAAGAAAAGCUUCAACGUGAGG